rnacentral:rRNA from 1 species
UCAAGCUACAAAGGGCUCACGGUGGAUACCUUGGCACACAGAGGCGAUGAAGGACGUGGUUACCUGCGAUAAGUCUCGGGGAGCUGGAAACACGCUUUGAUCCGGGAAUUUCCGAAUGGGGCAACCCCUAGAACGGCCGCCUGAAUCCAUAGGGCGGCACGAGCCAACCCAGCGAACUGAAACAUCUUAGUAGCUGGAGGAAAGGAAAGUAAAAACGACUCCCUAAGUAGCGGCGAGCGAACGGGGAAGAGCCUAAACCGAUGGUUUCGACCAUCGGGGUUGUGGGACAGCAACGUGGACCAACAGAGUUAGAAGAAGCGUUUGAAUGGCGCGCCACAGAGGGUGAAAGCCCCGUAUUCGAAAACAAAGUUGGCCUAGCUGUAUCCCGAGUAGCACGGAGCACGUGAAAUUCCGUGUGAAUCUGCGAGGACCACCUCGUAAGGCUAAGUACUCCUGUGUGACCGAUAGCGCAACAGUACCGCGAGGGAAAGGUGAAAAGAACCCCGGGAGGGGAGUGAAAUAGAACAUGAAACCGUGAGCUUACAAGCAAUGGGAGCCCUACUCAUAGGGUGACCGUGUGCCUGUUGAAGAAUGAGCCGGCGACUUAUAGGCACUGGCAGGUUAAACCGGGAAUGGUGGAGCCAUAGCGAAAGCGAGUCUGAAUAGGGCGAUCGUCAGUGUUUAUAGACCCGAACCCGGGUGAUCUAACCAUGGCCAGGAUGAAGCUUGGGUGAUACCAAGUGGAGGUCCGAACCGACUGAUGUUGAAAAAUCAGCGGAUGAGCUGUGGUUAGGGGUGAAAUGCCAAUCGAACCCGGAGCUAGCUGGUUCUCCCCGAAAUACGUUGAGGCGUAGCGUCUAGUGCUCCAGCAGGGGGGUAAAGCCACCGUUUCGGUGCGGGCUGCGAGAGCGGUACCAAAUCGAGACGAACUCUGAAUACCCUGUGUGUAACUAGGCAGUCAGACUGUGGGGGAUAAGCUCCAUGGUCGAAAGGGAAACAGCCCAGACCGCCAGCUAAGGUCCCCAAAUCAACACUAAGUGAUAAAGGAGGUGGGAUUGCCCAGACAACCAGGAGGUUUGCCUAGAAGCAGCCAUCCUCAAAGGAGUGCGUAAUAGCUCACUGGUCGAGCGAUCCUGCGCCGAAAAUGAACGGGGCUAAGUGUUGUACCGAAGCUGCGGAUUAAACUUGUUUAAUGGUAGGGGAGCGUUCCAUGUGGGGUGAAGCGUUAGCGUAAGCGGGCGUGGACUGCAUGGAAGUGAGAAUGUCGGCUUGAGUAGCGAAAACAUGGGUGAGAAUCCCAUGCCCCGAAACCCUAAGGGUUCCUCCGGCAGGCUCGUCCGCGGAGGGUUAGUCAGGACCUAAGGCGAGGCCGAAAGGCGUAGUCGAUGGACAACAGGUCAACAUUCCUGUACCUGUGAUGUUUUGGGAAGGGGGACGGAGAAGGCUAGCCAAGCCAGAUGUUGGUUACUGGUCCAAGCGUUCGAGGCGUUGAGAACCGGCGAAAACGGUUUGAGCUGAGGCGUGAGUGCGAGCUGCUACGGCAGCGAAGUUGGUGACGUCAUGCUUCCAAGAAAAGCCCUAUACCCGUUAAGGCAUGAUUGCCUGUACCCGAAACCGACACAGGUGGGGUGGUAGAGAAUACCGAGGGGCGCGAGGUAACUCUCUCUAAGGAACUCGGCAAAAUGACCCCGUAACUUCGGGAGAAGGGGUGCCACCGCAAGGUGGUCGCAGUGAAUAGGCCCAGGCGACUGUUUACCAAAAACACAGGUCUCCGCUAAGUCGCAAGACGAUGUAUGGGGGCUGACGCCUGCCCAGUGCCGGAAGGUUAAGGAAGCUGGUCAGCGUAAGCGAAGCUGGCGACUGAAGCCCCGGUGAACGGCGGCCGUAACUAUAACGGUCCUAAGGUAGCGAAAUUCCUUGUCGGGUAAGUUCC